rnacentral:rRNA from 1 species
GAGGAAUAUUGGUCAAUGGGCGCGAGCCUGAACCAGCCAAGUAGCGUGCAGGAUGACGGCCCUAUGGGUUGUAAACUGCUUUUGUAUGGGGAUAAAGUCAAUCACGUGUGAUUGUUUGCAGGUACCAUACGAAUAAGGACCGGCUAAUUCCGUGCCAGCAGCCGCGGUAAUACGGAAGGUUCGGGCGUUAUCCGGAUUUAUUGGGUUUAAAGGGAGCGUAGGCCGGAGAUUAAGUGUGUUGUGAAAUGUAGACGCUCAACGUCUGACUUGCAGCGCAUACUGGUUUCCUUGAGUACGCACAACGUUGGCGGAAUUCGUCGUGUAGCGGUGAAAUGCUUAGAUAUGACGAAGAACUCCGAUUGCGAAGGCAACUGACGGGAGCGCAACUGACGCUGAAGCUCGAAGGUGCGGGUAUCGAACAGGAUUAGAUACCCUGGUAGUCCGCACAGUAAACGAUGGAUGCCCGCUGUUGGUACCUGGUAUCAGCGGCUAAGCGAAAGCAUUAAGCAUCCCACCCGGGGAGUACGCCGGCAACGGUG